CGGGGGUUACCAGAGACUGCACAGCUCAGACUUCAACUGCCUCCAGAGCAACUGGGACCUACACAAGUAUGAAUCUCCAAAAAAACUACAUGCUUUAUCUCUGCCAGAGUCCUGAGGCUGCUACCAAAGUUGCACUGUCAGAUGAGAUACACUACACAUUGGAGAAAUCACCAGUGUUUUCAUACCUGCAUUUUGACUACAUUACCUGCCUCUUACUUCCACAUUAAUUUUAAACCACUUCACUGAUUUGAACAAAAAGGCACCAGAUAACUGCAGAAUUUAGUCCACUUUUUCCACUGACCAACAGAAAAAGCUGGCUGCAGCAAAGGCAGAAGAAUGCAAGAUUUACAGCGGAGAGACAGAGCCAACCCUGUGUUCUGAUUAGCAGUUUGGAUGCCAUUGUUCUGUCUGGAAAACACAUGUCAUCCUCAGAAUCACCCAAGCUGUCCAUUGACAUCUGCCAACAUAUCCUCCAUCACCUCGCUCUCUCUUUUUUCUCACUUUCUCUUCCUUACACCUCUUUCCUCAUUUCCCUGCAUGAAGUAUUCCAGUGCAGUUAGGAGUUACCCCUUGUAAAAAGUGAUGCGGCUUUCACCCCCCACAAUAACACCUUCAGUCUCAAGCUGACCAUCCCAAAACAACAGAAAAUAGACAGUGCCUCUGAGUCUUCUCACUUGUAGGAUUUGUGCCAUGUUUCACUCCAGGGACAGAAAUUCAUAAUAGCCCAGAGGCUUCAUAUUUUUAAAAUUGUCACACUAAGACUUGAGUGCCACCAUGAAAGAAGCAGUAGAAAGAUGCCUGAAGGUAGGCUGGGAAGAAUCCAAAAUGAUGUCAGGUUUCCUUCUACCUUCCCAUCAAUAGGGUCUUUGAAGAAGAAGCCUCUUCAGAGAAGAAAAAAUAACUUUCUCUUUAGUUAAAAGGGCUACUAUGGUUGCAGUUUGGAGACUGACAGUUAAUGUUAGUUUUACCUUAAAAUCUAUACAGCCUCAUGGUUUGCUGUGGAUGGCUUUGCCUCCACGAGUUUUGAUGAUGUCCUUGAAAGAGAAAUAUAGAUGCACCGCUUCAUUUUGUGUUGACUAUGGAGGUGAAUAUUUUAUCCCCUUUCCUUUUCCUGGCUGUUUGCAAACAGCAGUGAUAAAUCCUAUGCAGCAUGCCUAAGAAUUGUGGCAGAGGAGAGAAAAUCAAAGCUUUUACUGGACUAGAACAGUUCCAAGUCUGAUAGUUCUCUUUGCUUGCUGUGGUGACUGAUGAUGAGGGACAGAGGAGAUAAAAGAGGUGCUGGAACUGUGUUUCGCUGUCUAUUAUCUUUUGUCUCCAAGAGAUACUUUUAUUAUUUUCAUUAUUGUUUUCAGCUUUUAUGUAGAAUGAAAAGAUUCUUAACUAAAGGAAAAUAUGUUGGGUUUUUUUUUUUGAGGUCUAUGCAUUUUUGUGUGUGACUUCAUAGGGAAUAGAAUCUUACAUUCUUGAAGAGUCCUUAGAAAAAAUGUUGGUGCCUCUCUCUAGUUAUACCAUAGUACAGCUUUUCCAGCAAAGAAUAAUUUCUGUUAAAAUAUUGGCUUGGCGGUUUCUGGAAGGUAGUAAAUUGUAAUUCAUCCACCAUAAUGUCUAUCAGCCUGUUGAGAACUUUUUCUUUUGUUGUGAAGGCCCUGAAACAGUUUGUACAAUGCUGUCACACUCAGGUAGAGCUACAACAGCUGAUCAUAGUUAUUUUUUAGGGACCCAGCUCUCAUACUGUCUCUUUGGAAGAGUUUAAAUUCAUACCUGCUAGCUUAAAUGAUUGCUAAUUCUCCUCCAGCCAUGCUGUCACAUAACCUCCUUUUUAAUACAAAAGUAGCACCUCAGUUAGCUGAAGGGAAUGGAAAGAUCCUUCAUGAAUGAACACACCAGAGACAAGAUCAUUCAAUGUCCUGGAUAAAUCCCAAUCACUGUGAAACUUCAGCUGCAGCAGCAACUCCUGCAAGUGGGAAGCCCUGACUAGAAACCCAUGCACAGUACCUGAGAUGUUCCCAGCACAACAAAUCACUAUCAUACUCCCAGUUCCUCUCACCUCAGGUUUCAGGGGAAAAUCCUCAGGACCCAGAUCAAAACCUGGGAACGUGAGGUUCUGCACCAGCAAGGAGGGCCUGGAGAUUUCAUACCUGUGCCAUGCUCCUGAGCAGCCUGGCUUGUGGGCCCUAAUAUUUAAGUUCAGGUGGAAUAAACAACAAAAAACUUCAUUUAAAUGAGUUUUGCAUUUUACUGGAAGCACUGAAAUGAAUGAAAUCAAUCCAGGACAACUUCUUGUUUUCAAUAUCAAUUGUUUCUUCUCUGGCACUUUGAUACAAUCUCCUUUAUUUCAGUGGAACCAGGAUCUCACUCUGCACAUAACUCAGCCAGACCUUAAAUCACCCAUAUUUGUUUAUUCCCAGACUGUAACUUUAUACUCAGCCUGUAACUACAUAUUAAAAAACGGAAGAAAACAGAAAAACAUGGUUUCCUUCCCCUCUAGUAAAAUUCUAAU